rnacentral:rRNA from 1 species
GAUGAACACUAGCUACAGGCCUAACACAUGCAAGUCGAACGGGACUUAAGGGGCUUGCUCCUUAAGUUUAGUGGCGAACGGGUGAGUAACGCGUGAGAAACCUGCCUCUCAGUGGGGGACAACAGUUGGAAACGACUGCUAAUACCGCAUAAAGUAUCCGGAGGGCAUCCUCUGGAUACCAAAGCUUAAUGUGCUGAGAGAUGGUCUCGCGUCUGAUUAGCUAGUUGGUGAGGUAACGGCUCACCAAGGCGACGAUCAGUAGCCGGUCUGAGAGGAUGAACGGCCACAUUGGGACUGAGAUACGGCCCAG